rnacentral:lncRNA from 1 species
UUGAACAAAUUUGGGGACAAUGGUUUGAACAAUUUACGAAACCAUGGUUGGAACUAUUUGAGAAAGAAUGUUUUCAACUGAUUUAUGAACAAUGAUUUUAACCGUUUAUGGAACUAUGGUUGUAACUACUUUAGGAACAACGCGUUAAACCAAUUUGGGGACAAUAGUUUCAACCAUUUCUGAAAUUCCGAUCGAAACUAUUUCAGAAACAAUGCUUCCCACUGAUUUAUGAACAAUGGUUUCAACCAUUUAAGAGACAUUGGUAUGAACAAGGGUUCCUCCAUGGUUGUAAGUAUUUCAGAAAUCAUACUUCAACUUUU